rnacentral:rRNA from 1 species
GACGAACGCUGGCGGCGUGCUUAACACAUGCAAGUCGAACGGAAAGGCCCUGCUUUUGUGGGGUGCUCGAGUGGCGAACGGGUGAGUAACACGUGAGUAACCUGCCCUUGACUUUGGGAUAACUUCAGGAAACUGGGGCUAAUACCGGAUAGGAGCUCCUGCUGCAUGGUGGGGGUUGGAAAGUUUCGGCGGUUGGGGAUGGACUCGCGGCUUAUCAGCUUGUUGGUGGGGUAGUGGUUUACCAAGGCUUUGACGGGUAGCCGGCCUGAGAGGGUGACCGGCCACAUUGGGACUGAGAUACGGCCCAGACUCCUACGGGAGGCAGCAGUGGGGAAUAUUGCACAAUGGGCGGAAGCCUGAUGCAGCAACGCCGCGUGCGGGAUGACGGCCUUCGGGUUGUAAACCGCUUUCGCCUGCGACGAAGCGUGAGUGACGGUAAUGGGUAAAGAAGCACCGGCUAACUACGUG